rnacentral:pre_miRNA from 1 species
AGAAGAAUAGCUGGGUCAAAUGGUGAUUCUAUUCCCAGAUUUCUAAGGAAUCUCCAUACUGCUUUGUAUAUUGGCUGCACCAAUUUGCAGUCCUACCAGCAAU